GUCAAGAGUAACAGUCACGGAAAUUCUGCGGUCGUGGCACAGAGAAUAGUCAAACGGCGGUGACGUCGAGCCGCCUCUCCCGAGCAGCCAGGAGCCGGGCGCUGACCCUAAGAUUGGAUGUGGGAAAGCAGCAAUGCUAACGUCUGUCUCCCUGGACACCCCACAUCAUCAUCCUUUUGUAAACAAAGGAGGCUUUGAAGCCACCAGGAGUCCUGCAAGGGUGAGAGAGACGAGAAUGAGCUACAGGCUCCCUGGUGGAAAGCGGAGCCGGGAAAUCUUCCAUAACCUUCCUUGUUUUUCCUAAUUAUGAAAGUAGCAAGUGUUCGUGGUAGUAAAUACGCCAGAGCAUCAAGAAAAAACUAUUAUCCAAAAGAGACAGACAAACGUAACAUCUGGUUUAAAGCAUUUUGGUUUAUGUGUAUAAUUUUUUCUAAUUUUUAGCAUUAAAUUAUGUGCAGUUUUAUUUCCUGCUUUUCUUUCACUGGACUUGGAUCAAAAGUGUUUUCCCAUGUCGAACCCCUCGUCACUGUAAGCAUUUUGUGUGACUAUGUAUCAGCCCAUUCUGUUGAAGGUCUGGUACUCAUUUCUGAGGGUUUCCUCCUUGCCUUUUUAUAUCAGGCCGCUGGGUUUGCUCUGUGGUGGAUAUUCAAACCUGCCUUAUCCGCUUCCUCUCUGCGCUUUCUGAAAUUUUCGACACUGGUUACUGGAUGCGGAAGACCCCGCUACAUAAUCACUGGAAAAUAGAAAUUCUAGGUUUGUCUUGAG
ensembl:lncRNA